CCGUAGCUCAGCUGGUAGAGCAACUGAUUUGUAAUCAGUCGGUCGGGGGUUCGAGUCCCUUCGGU
rnacentral:tRNA from 1 species